CCUACGGGAGGCAGCAGUAGGGAAUUUUCCACAAUGGGCGAAAGCCUGAUGGAGCAACGCCGCGUGGGUGAAGAAGGUCUUCGGAUCGUAAAACCCUGUUGUUAGAGAAGAAAGUGCGGGAGAGUAACGGUUAACGUUUCGACGGUAACUAACCAGAAAGCCACGGCUAACUACGUGCCAGCAGCCGCGGUAAUACGUAGGUGGCAAGCGUUAUCCGGAUUUAAUGGGCGUAAAGGGAAAGGAGGCGGUCUUUUAAGUCUGAUGUGAAAUCCAUCGGCUUAACCGGGGUAGUGCGUUGGAAACUGGGAGACUUGAGUGCAGAAGAGGAGGGUGGAACUCCAUGUGUAGCGGUGAAAUGCGUAGAUAUAUGGAAGAACACCAGUGGCGAAAGCGGCUCUCUGGUCUGUAACUGACGCUGAGGUUCGAAAGCGUGGGUAGCAAACAGGAUUAGAUACCCUUGUAGUC
rnacentral:rRNA from 1 species